GGCUUCAUGAAUCUCAUCUGCAAGAAGAUGAAUCCACUGUGGUUCUUCCUCUUCCUGGUGUCAGCUCCCAGAGGUGUCCUGUCCCAGGUGCAGCUGCAGGAGUCGGGACCCAGCCUGGUGAAGCCCUCACAGACCCUCUCCCUCACCUGCACUGUCUCUGGAUUCUCAUUAAGCAGCAAUGCUGUAUCCUGGGUCCGACAGUCUCCAGGAAAGGGGCUGGAGUGGGUUGGUGUGAUGGAUGAUAGUGGAAGCGCGUAUUACAACCCAGCUCUUAAGUCCCGGCUCAGCAUCACCAGGGACACGUCCAAGAGCCAAGUCUAUUUAUCCCUGAGCAGCCUGACAACUGAAGACACACCCGUGUAUUACUGUGCGAGAGACACACAUCUCCUGGGUCUGAGGAAGGUGGAGUUAUGGGGUGACAUCAGUGAAGUGGGUGUCUCAUUGUUUCUCCUACCCCAGGUGUCCUGUCCCAGGUGCUGGUGCAGGAAUCGGGCCCAGGACUAUUGA